UGAUGACUGGCCUACAGGCCUUUUCCACCUAUCAAAUAAGAGUUGUUAGCUCUAACAAGGCAGGAAGUGUCACUUCGCAGUGGACCACGGCUCGAACAACAGAGGGAGUGCCAGAGUUCAUUGCUCCUCCUCAAGUAACUGCUCUGUCAGCCAGCUCUCUCAAAGUUACUUGGAACUCUACUGAAGGUCACGGGGUCAUCUCAAGAGGACAAGCCACUGAAUACCGCAUUAACCUGGUCACUGAGCAGUCUAACAACCCCUAUGCCCCUCCUGUCAUUAACCAGGUCUUACACAGAGCAAGCCCAUCAUCGCAG
rnacentral:lncRNA from 1 species